UGGGGAAUAUUGGACAAUGGGCGCAAGCCUGAUCCAGCAACGCCGCGUGGAGGACGAAGGUCUUCGGAUCGUAAACUCCUGUCAGGCGGGACGAAGGCUGCAGGGCAAAUAGUCCUGUAGCUUGACGGUACUGCCAGAGGAAGCCCCGGCUAACUCCGUGCCAGCAGCCGCGGUAAUACAGAGGGUGCAAGCGUUGUCCGGAAUCACUGGGCGUAAAGGGCGCGUAGGUGGCUUGGUAAGCGUGCGGUGAAAGCUAGAGGCUCAACCUCGAGUCUGCCGUGCGAACUGCCGAGCUGGAGCACGGUAGAGGCACAUGGAAUUCCGGGUGUAGCGGUGGAAUGCGUAGAGAUCCGGAAGAACACCGGUGGCGAAGGCGGUGUGCUGGGCCGUAGCUGACACUGAGGCGCGACAGCGUGGGGAGCAAA
rnacentral:rRNA from 1 species